AUGGUUAAGUGACUAAGCGUACACGGUGGAUGCCUUGGCAGUCAGAGGCGAUGAAAGACGUAGUAACUUGCGAUAAGCCCAGAUUAGGUAGUAACAACCAUUUGAGUCUGGGAUUUCUGAAUGGGGAAACCCACGUGCAUAAGCACGUAUCCUUACCUGAAUACAUAGGGUAAGGAGGCGAACCGGGGGAACUGAAACAUCUAAGUACCCCGAGGAAAAGAAAUCAACCGAGAUUCCGAAAGUAGCGGCGAGCGAAAUUGGACUAGCCCUUAAGCUUUACACGCGUUAGACGAACGGUCUGGAAAGUCCGACGAUACAGGGUGAUAGUCCCGUAGUUGACGACGUGUGUUCAGUGAAAUCGAGUAGGGCGGGACACGUGAUAUCCUGUCUGAAUAUGGGGGGACCAUCCUCCAAGGCUAAAUACUACUGACUGACCGAUAGUGAACCAGUACCGUGAGGGAAAGGCGAAAAGAACCCCUGUGAGGGGAGUGAAAUAGAACCUGAAACCGUGUACGUACAAGCAGUAGGAGCAGGCUUUGUCCUGUGACUGCGUACCUUUUGUAUAAUGGGUCAGCGACUUAUAUUCAGUGGCAAGGUUAACCAUCUAGGGGAGCCGUAGGGAAACCGAGUCUUAACUGGGCGUUCAGUCUCUGGAUAUAGACCCGAAACCAGGUGAUCUAGCCAUGGGCAGGUUGAAGGUUGAGUAACAUCAACUGGAGGACCGAACCGACUAAUGUUGAAAAAUUAGCGGAUGACUUGUGGCUAGGGGUGAAAGGCCAAUCAAACCUGGAGAUAGCUGGUUCUCCCCGAAAGCUAUUUAGGUAGCGCCUCGGACGAAUACUACUGGGGGUAGAGCACUGUUAAGGCUAGGGGGUCAUCCCGACUUACCAACCCUUUGCAAACUCCGAAUACCAGUAAGUACUAUCCGGGAGACACACGGCGGGUGCUAACGUCCGUCGUGGAGAGGGAAACAACCCAGACCGCCAGCUAAGGUCCCAAAUUACUACUAAGUGGGAAACGAUGUGGGAAGGCUCAGACAGCCAGGAUGUUGGCUUAGAAGCAGCCAUCAUUUAAAGAAAGCGUAAUAGCUCACUGGUCGAGUCGGCCUGCGCGGAAGAUGUAACGGGGCUAAGUAGUAAACCGAAGCUGCGGCAAUAUACUUUUGUAUAUUGGGUAGGGGAGCGUUCUGUAAGCGGUUGAAGGUGUGUGGUAACGCAUGCUGGACGUAUCAGAAGUGCGAAUGCUGACAUGAGUAACGAUAAAGGGGGUGAAAAACCUCCUCGCCGGAAGACCAAGGGUUCCUGUCCAACGUUAAUCGGGGCAGGGUAAGUCGACCCCUAAGGCGAGGCCGAAAGGCGUAGUCGAUGGGAAACGGGUUAAUAUUCCCGUACUUCUUACAAUUGCGAUGGGGGGACGGAGAAGGCUAGGUGGGCCUGGCGACGGUUGUCCAGGUUCAAGUGCGUAGGCUUAAGAGUUAGGUAAAUCCGGCUCUUUCUAAGGCUGAGACACGACGUCGAGCACCUACGGGUGUGAAGUCAUUGAUGCCAUGCUUCCAGGAAAAGCCUCUAAGCUUCAGAUUGUAAGGAAUCGUACCCCAAACCGACACAGGUGGUCGGGUAGAGAAUACCAAGGCGCUUGAGAGAACUCGGGUGAAGGAACUAGGCAAAAUGGUACCGUAACUUCGGGAGAAGGUACGCUCUUGAUGGUGAAGUCCCUUGCGGAUGGAGCUGACGAGAGUCGCAGAUACCAGGUGGCUGCAACUGUUUAUUAAAAACACAGCACUGUGCAAAAUCGUAAGAUGACGUAUACGGUGUGACGCCUGCCCGGUGCCGGAAGGUUAAUUGAUGGGGUUAGACUUCGGUCGAAGCUCUUGAUCGAAGCCCCGGUAAACGGCGGCCGUAACUAUAACGGUCCUAAGGUAGCGAAAUUCCUUGUCGGGUAAGUUCCGACCUGCACGAAUGGCGUAAUGAUGGCCACGCUGUCUCCACCCGAGACUCAGUGAAAUUGAAAUCGCUGUGAAGAUGCAGUGUACCCGCGGCUAGACGGAAAGACCCCGUGAACCUUUACUACAGCUUGGCACUGAACAUUGACCCUACAUGUGUAGGAUAGGUGGGAGGCUUUGAAGCACGUACGCCAGUAUGUGUGGAGCCGUCCUUGAAAUACCACCCUUGUAGUGUUGAUGUUCUAACGUCGACCCCUUAUCGGGGUUGCGGACAGUGCCUGGUGGGUAGUUUGACUGGGGCGGUCUCCUCCCAAAGAGUAACGGAGGAGCACGAAGGUGGGCUAAUCACGGUUGGACAUCGUGAGGUUAGUGCAAUGGCAUAAGCCCGCUUGACUGCGAGAAUGACAAUUCGAGCAGGUGCGAAAGCAGGUCAUAGUGAUCCGGUGGUUCUGAAUGGAAGGGCCAUCGCUCAACGGAUAAAAGGUACUCCGGGGAUAACAGGCUGAUACCGCCCAAGAGUUCAUAUCGACGGCGGUGUUUGGCACCUCGAUGUCGGCUCAUCACAUCCUGGGGCUGAAGUCGGUCCCAAGGGUAUGGCUGUUCGCCAUUUAAAGUGGUACGCGAGCUGGGUUUAGAACGUCGUGAGACAGUUCGGUCCCUAUCUGCCGUGGGCGUUGGAAGAUUGAAGGGGGCUGCUCCUAGUACGAGAGGACCGGAGUGGACGAACCUCUGGUGUUCGGGUUGUGUCGCCAGACGCAUUGCCCGGUAGCUAAGUUCGGAAUCGAUAACCGCUGAAAGCAUCUAAGCGGGAAGCGAGCCCUGAGAUGAGUCUUCCCUGAUACUUUAAGUAUCCUAAAGGGUUGUCGGAGACUACGACGUUGAUAGGUCAGGUGUGUAAGUGCUGUGAGGCAUUGAGCUAACUGAUACUAAUUGCCCGUGAGGCUUAACCAUACAACACCC
rnacentral:rRNA from 1 species